rnacentral:rRNA from 1 species
GACGAACGCUGGCGGCGUGCUUAACACAUGCAAGUCGAACGGAAAGGCCUGCUUUUGUGGGGUGCUCGAGUGGCGAACGGGUGAGUAACACGUGAGUAACCUGCCCUUGACUUUGGGAUAACUUCAGGAAACUGGGGCUAAUACCGGAUAGGAGCUCCUGAUGCAUGGUGGGGGGUGGAAAGUUUCGGCGGUUGGGGAUGGACUCGCGGCUUAUCAGCUUGUUGGUGGGGUAGUGGCUUACCAAGGCUUUGACGGGUAGCCGGCCUGAGAGGGUGACCGGCCACAUUGGGACUGAGAUACGGCCCAGACUCCUACGGGAGGCAGCAGUGGGGAAUAUUGCACAAUGGGCGGAAGCCUGAUGCAGCAACGCCGCGUGCGGGAUGACGGCCUUCGGGUUGUAAACCGCUUUCGCCUGUGACGAAGCGUGAGUGACGGUAAUGGGUAAAGAAGCACCGGCUAACUACGUG